GGGCUGCAGCUCAGUGGUAGAGCAUCUGCUUUUCAUUCAUAAAGUCCCAGGUUCGAUUCCUGACGGCAUCU